rnacentral:rRNA from 1 species
UGGUGAGGUAAUGGCCCACCAAACCUGUAACCGGUACGGGCUCUGAGAGGAGGAGCCCGGAGAUGGGCACUGAGACAAGGGCCCAGGCCCUAUGGGGCGCAGCAGGCGCGAAACCUCUGCAAUAGGCGAAAGCCUGACAGGGUUACUCUGAGUGAUCUCCGUUAAGGAGAUCUUUUGGCACCUCUAAAAAUGGUGCAGAAUAAGGGGUGGGCAAGUCUGGUGUCAGCCGCCGCGGUAAUACCAGCACCCCGAGUGGUCGGGACGUUUAUUGGGCCUAAAGCAUCCGUAGCCGGUUCUACAAGUCUUCCGUUAAAUCCAGCUGCUUAACAGAUGGGCUGCGGAAGAUACUAUGGAGCUAGGAGGCGGGAGAGGCAAGCGGUACUCGAUGGGUAGGGGUAAAAUCCGUUGAUCCAUUGAAGA